rnacentral:rRNA from 1 species
AUGAACGCUAGCGACAGGCCUAACACAUGCAAGUCAGGGGCAGCACAAGGAGCAAUCUGAGGUGGCGACCGGCGCACGGGUGAGUAACACGUAUGCAACCUGCCUGUAAGCGGGGAAUAACCCGUUGAAAGACGGACUAAUACCGCAUAAUACUAAAUUACUGCAUGGUAAUUUAUUUAAACAUUUUAUGGCUUACAGAUGGGCAUGCGCAUGAUUAGCUAGUUGGAGAGGUAACGGCUCCCCAAGGCAACGAUCAUUAGGGGUUCUGAGAGGAAGGUCCCCCACACUGGUACUGAGACACGGACCAGACUCCUACGGGAGGCAGCAGUGAGGAAUAUUGGUCAAUGGACGAGAGUCUGAACCAGCCAAGUCGCGUGCAGGAAGAAUGUUCCCUAUGGAUUGUAAACUGCUUUUGCAGGGGAAUAAAGUGCAUCACGUGUGAUGUUUUGUAUGUACUCUGCGAAUAAGGAUCGGCUAACUCCGUGCCAGCCGCCGC